CUUAGAUAAUGCUGCAGUUGGUGGAAAUGAUGAACAUUUAAAAUGUUAACACCCUGUGAAUGCAUUGGAUUUAAGAGAAUAAACUUUUUGUAAAAAUCACUUGUAAAGAUUAUAAACUUAAUUACUGCACUUAAAAUGAAACAUUGCUUUUUUUUUUUUGUAGUGUGUCACAGAUGUAGGCUCAGAUUACUUGUAUGCUUGUGUGAUUUAUUGUUAGACCACCCAGUUCUAAACAUCUAAAAAGAUUGUUUUGUUUUGUUUGUGGUGCUGGGGAUCAAACAAAGCCAGGGCUUCCCUCACCACAUGCUAUCCGAGGGCUCUACAGUGAACUAUAUACCCCUGGCCCUAAAGAUUCUAACUGAAACACAAGAAGGAAGUUUUCUUUUUGAAGAAAACAAAUAUAUUCUUUCUUUUUCUCUAGACAUUAUUGAAGUUUAAAGACGUGACCAGUUUUUAAUUUGUUUGAAGUUAUAAUAUUUUUAAUAUAACUUGCCUCAUUACGUGUAAUAGUUCCCAUUUGAUGGGAUAUAUAGGGAAGAAUGUGUGCGUGUGUAUGCGUAUAAAAUAUAUAUAUUCACAGUCUGUAUUGUUUAUUUUAUUAUAGCAGAUUUAGGGUUUGUAUCUAAAUGAUGAUGCCUGUGAGUUAUGUGAAACUGUUGACGACUUUUUUCCCAGCAUUACUCUGAUGAGGCUCAACAUUUCCUUGGGCUCUUGAAGGCUAAAAUUAGGUAGAAAUGAUAUUGAAUGUAUGGUACAAUGAUCUGCCGUAGUUGUUACUGCAUGAAGAGAAAAACUCACACAAUCUUAUCACCUCGCACUUCAUAGAGAAGGUUUGUUCCCAUUGUCACCCCCCCCCCAACCCGCCGCCACCACCAAUGAUACGACACAUGCUCAUGCAUAAAAUGUUACAAUGAGUACAUCCUUGUAUUUGUAUGUUUUCAACAUUGCCAAGGUGCUAUGGG
rnacentral:lncRNA from 1 species